CCAGAGAACUUAGCAGAGAUGCUUUGGUGCCUUCGGGAACUCUGAGACAGGUGCUGCAUGGCUGUCGUCAGCUCGUGUUGUGAAAUGUUGGGUUAAGUCCCGCAACGAGCGCAACCCUUAUCCUUGUUGCCAGCGGCUCGGCCGGGAACUCAAAGGAGACUGCCGGUGAUAAACCGGAGGAAGGUGGGGAUGACGUCAAGUCAUCAUGGCCCUUACGGCCAGGGCUACACACGUGCUACAAUGGCGCAUACAAAGAGAAGCGACCUCGCGAGAGCAAGCGGACCUCAUAAAGUGCGUCGUAGUCCGGAUUGGAGUCUGCAACUCGACUCCAUGAAGUCGGAAUCGCUAGUAAUCGUAGAUCAGAAUGCUACGGUGAAUACGUUCCCGGGCCUUGUACACACCGCCCGUCACACCAUGGGAGUGGGUUGCAAAAGAAGUAGGUAGCUUAACCUUCGGGAGGGCGCUUACCACUUUGUGAUUCAUGACUGGGGUGAAGUCGUAACAAGGUAAGCGUAGCGAG
rnacentral:rRNA from 1 species